rnacentral:rRNA from 1 species
UACGGAGGAUGCAAGCGUUAUCUGGAUUUAUUUGGUUUAAAGGGUGCGCAGGUUGUUUGAUAAGUCAGUGGUGAAAGUCUGUCGCUUAACGGUAGGAUUGCCAUUGAUACUGUUGGACUUGAAUAUGGAUGAGGUAGGCGGAAUGUGUAGUGUAGCGGUGAAAUGCAUAGAUAUUACACAGAACACCGAUUGCGAAGGCAGCUUACUAAUCCAUCAUUGACGCUGAGGCACGAAAGCGUGGGGAUCAAA